UCCUGUAUUCAUGUUCUGUGAUAUGUAUUCAUCAGGAUGAGCUGAGUGACCUGCAGCAGGAUCUGCUGGAAGUUGAGGAUGCUUCCAUCCUGUUUACAGGUGUACCACACUCAAACCCUCGAAAAACCUGUGCUGCACAUACUGCAGAGUUCAAAGCCCCACUACCUUUGCAGUUCACGAGUCCUGCUCAGACAGCUAAAGGGACAAAGCCAUUGUUUGCCUUGGCACCCAACUAGACACGUCAAUUGGACACGCUUCAUCGUCCAUGAUGAUGGCUACCUGUAGGCCAAAAAAAAUGUCUAAUCUUUGAUGAAACACACCAAAUUGAUUAUUCCGAAAUGGAUAUCAGUUCAACAUCAGCCUUGGACAUCAGUAUGGCCUCAGAACCUGCCUCAGAAACUGCUGACUCCAGUUUUCUCCCUGACACAAGCCCGUCCACCUCUACCACAGGAAGCUCAGCAAGCAUUCCUGGACAAUUUAGAGGAUGGAAAGAGAGUAAGUGGCUGGUUAAUGAGUCCAAACUCAUGGAACUAUUCCAAAAAUGCACUUUUUGUGGAGCUGCAAUGUGUGAUGUGAACCAAACUGUGAAAACAUCUGGCAGCAGGAUCAGAGUCACAUGGCAAUGUAACAGUGGACACACUGGAGAUUGGGAAUCAUGCCCAAUCUGGGAGAAGUGAUAGCCCAGGCCAUUCCUGCAAAUACACAACGUAUUCCUACAUGGAUGACUCCACCAAUCAAAUUCUAACAUUUGAGUUGAUUCAGGUGACCCAGGCCAAAAGGUUCUGUUGCGAUGGCACCAAUGGGUUUCAAGAAAGGACUGGAAAAGCUUCUAGAUGAAGGGAUUGACGUAAAGGUUGCCACAACCGACAGACAUCCCUCUAUCAGGAAAAUAAUGAGGGAGGAUUUUCAAAAUAUAGACACAAAACCCAGAUAGCGGAUUAAGCCGGGAUUUCCCAGUUAUCCUGGCUCAAUUUAGCCUUGACUCAGUUUCACAA